AGAGUUUGAUCCUGGCUCAGAUUGAACGCUGGCGGAACGCUUUACACAUGCAAGUCGAACGGUAACGUGGGGAGGAGCUUGCUCCACCCCGACGACGAGUGGCGAACGGGUGAGUAAUACAUCGGAACGUGUCCGCUUGUGGGGGACAACCAGCCGAAAGGUUGGCUAAUACCGCAUGAGUUCUACGGAAGAAAGAGGGGGACCCGCAAGGGCCUCUCGCGAGCGGAGCGGCCGAUGACUGAUUAGCCUGUUGGUGAGGUAACGGCUCACCAAAGCAACGAUCAGUAGCUGGUCUGAGAGGACGACCAGCCACACUGGGACUGAGACACGGCCCAGACUCCUACGGGAGGCAGCAGUGGGGAAUUUUGGACAAUGGGCGCAAGCCUGAUCCAGCUAUUCCGCGUGUGGGAUGAAGGCCCUCGGGUUGUAAACCACUUUUGUAGAGAACGAAAAGACAUCUUCGAAUAAAGGAUGUUGCUGACGGUACUCUAAGAAUAAGCACCGGCUAACUACGUGCCAGCAGCCGCGGUAAUACGUAGGGUGCGAGCGUUAAUCGGAAUUACUGGGCGUAAAGGGUGCGCAGGCGGUUGAGUAAGACAGAUGUGAAAUCCCCGAGCUUAACUCGGGAAUGGCAUAUGUGACUGCUCGACUAGAGUGUGUCAGAGGGAGGUGGAAUUCCACGUGUAGCAGUGAAAUGCGUAGAUAUGUGGAAGAACACCGAUGGCGAAGGCAGCCUCCUGGGACAUAACUGACGCUCAGGCACGAAAGCGUGGGGAGCAAACAGGAUUAGAUACCCUGGUAGUCCACGCCCUAAACGAUGUUAACUAGUUGUUGGGAUGUAACAAUCUCAGUAACGCAGCCAACGCGAGAAGUUAACCGCCUGGGAAGUACGGUCGCAAGACUAAAACUCAAAGGAAUUGACGGGGACCCGCACAAGCGGUGGAUGAUGUGGAUUAAUUCGAUGCAACGCGAAAAACCUUACCUACCCUUGACAUGUCAGGAAGCUCUUGUAAUGAGAGCGUGCCCGCAAGGGAGCCUGAACACAGGUGCU
rnacentral:rRNA from 1 species